rnacentral:rRNA from 1 species
AUUGAACGCUGGCGGCAUGCCUUACACAUGCAAGUCGAACGGCAGCACAGUAACAUGCUGCUGGUAGCGAGUGGGAGUCGGGUGCGUGUUACAUCGGAACCUGACCCUACGUUGGGGAUAGCCCGGCCGAAGCGGGACUAAUGCCACUACCGCACACCAGAUGCAAGCGGGGGACGUUCGUGCUCGGCCCUAUCGCGAUUGCCUGAGCCGAUGUCGGAUUAGCUAGUUGGUGGGGUAAAGGCCUACCAAGGCGACGAUCAGUAGCUGGUCUGAGAGGACGAUCAGCCACACUGGAACUGAGACACGGCCCAGACUCCUACGGGAGGCAGCAGUGGGGAAUAUUGGACAAUGGGCGAAAGCCUGAUCCAGCAAUACCGCGUGUGUGAAGAAGGCCUUCGGGUUGUAAAGCACUUUUGUCCGGAAAGAAAAGCAGGGGGCUAAUACAGUCGGGGGAUGACGGUACCGAAAGAAUAAGCACCGGCUAACUACGUG